UGAGUCUUGUCACGUUUCGUCCAUACAGAGCUUGUUCUUUCUGCCUGUGAACGUUCUAGAUAACGGAAGUGCGCGUCGUGUAAUUAUAGAAGCAAGGAAAAGUCAAGCCUUACAAAAAUUAGAAGUUAAAAUCCUAUUUAAAAGGGCUAACGUUAAACUAAAAGUACGAUAAAAAAGUGGUUAAAAACACACCGACCACAUUGAGUGUACAACAAAAUUCUACAGAAACACUACGUUAAAAAGGUAAAUUAUUAUAAGAAAACCAUAACAUAAAAUGUAAAACACGUGCACAUUA